rnacentral:rRNA from 1 species
GAUGAACGCUGGCGGCGUGCCUAAUACAUGCAAGUCGAGCGAACAGACGAGGUGCUUGCUCCUCUGACGUUAGCGGCGGACGGGUGAGUAACACGUGGAUAACCUCCCUAUAAGACUGGGGUAACUUCUGGAAACCGGAGCUAAUACCGGAUAAUAUAUUGAACCGCAUGGUUCAAUAGUGAAAGACGGUUUUGCUGUCACUUAUAGAUGGUUCCGCGCCGCAUUAGCUAGUUGGUAAGGUAACGGCUUACCAAGGCAACGAUGCGUAGCCGACCUGAGAGGGUGAUAGGCCACACUGGAACUGAGACACGGUCCAGACUCCUACGGGAGGCAGCAGUAGGGAAUCUUCCGAAAUGGGCGAAAGCUUGACGGAGCAACGCCGCGUGAGUGAUGAAGGUCUUCGGAUCUUAAAACUCUGUUAUUAGGGAAGAACAAAUGUGUAAGUAACUAUGCACGUCUUGACGGUACCUAAUCAGAAAGCCACGGCUAACUACGUG